rnacentral:rRNA from 1 species
AUUGAACGCUGGCGGCAGGCCUAACACAUGCAAGUCGAACGAGUGGCGGACGGGUGAGUAAUGUCUGGGAAACUGCCUGAAGGAGGGGGAUAACUACUGGAAACGGUAGCUAAUACCGCAUACCAUCAAAUGGGCCCAUAUGGGAUUAGCUAGUAGGUGGGGUAAUGGCUAACCUAGGCGACGAUCCCUAGCUGGUCUGAGAGGAUGACCCGCCACACUGGAACUGAGACACGGUCCAGACUCCUACGGGAGGCAGCAGUGGGGACUAUUGCACAAUGGGCGCAAGCCUGAUGCAUCCAUGCCUCGUGUGUGAAGAAGGCCUUCGGGUUGUAAAGCACUUUCAGCGAGGAGGCGUUACUCGCAGAAGAAGCACCGGCUAACUCCGUGCCAGCCGCCGCGGUAAUUC